rnacentral:misc_RNA from 1 species
GAUGAAGAACGUAGUGAAAUGCGAUAAGUAGUGUGAAUUGCAGAAUUCAGUGAAUCAUCGAAUCUUUGAACGCACAUUGCGCCCUUUGGUAUUCCUUAGGGCAUGCCUGUUCGAGCGUCAUUUAAACCUUCAAGCUCAGCUUGGUGUUGGGUGACUGUCCGCUUCACCGCGGACUCGCCUCACAAUUAUUGGCGGCCGGUACAUUGGCUUCGAGCGCAGCAGAAACGCGAACUCGGGCCCGUCGUAUUGGCUCCCAGAAGCUAUCUUCACAAUUUUGACCUCGGAUCAGGUAGGGAUACCCGCUGAACUUAAGCAUAUCAAUAAGCGGAGGA